GCCUAGUUGGGAUAGCUGUCACUGCUGCCCCAGUGUCUAGUUUAAAUGACACAACCUCCCCAUUGAGUUUAAUGUCUGAAUGCCAGCCAGUAUUGUUUCCCUUUACUUCUCCCAGAAAGAUGCUGUCCUGCUGUACCUCCUCUGAAGCCUCAUGCAUUUGCUUUAAUUGACAGACAUCUGAAAAGUGUCCUCUCCUGUGACAUUUCCUGCAUUCCGUAUCCUUUGCUGGGCAAUCUUUCCCACAUUUGCGACAAACAUUUGAACUAGCUACUGGUGCUGUCUGUGAUUGUUUUCUCCACGUCUGUCUCUGUUCUGUGUUCCCCUCCGUUUUUUUUUAGCUCUGUAUGAAAAUGCAUGUAUUUCCUCACUCUCUUCGUUCUGCAAGGAGCUGCUGUCGCGCAGUAUCGUCUGCGGUCUUUUUACUGUCUCACUCUGCCUAACCUGGUUUACAGCUUUGGACAAGGUUGCUGCCAUCAUGACUCUACCUUUUGACGUGGUGAAGACACGAAGACAGAUCCAACUGGGAGAGAUGGAGACACUGGGAGUCCCUGUGAAGAAUCCAGUGGCGUGCCGUGGGCCUGGGCCUUCAGUGAGGUCCUACACAGUCCCACCCGAAUUAAUCCACCUCUUAUUACCAUCAUUAUGAUGCCAUGGCUCUAGACACUAUACAUUUAGACAGAAACACAGUAUAAAACCAGGCGUUGCGUCACCUUGAAAUUGACAUUUUUAUUCAUAGAAUUGCAGGGGAAAGAGUACAAUACCUUUUCAUUGUGCAGCUCCCGUUGCCCUGCACGCUUGUUCAUUGAGCUGUAGAUCCACUCGGGUGUCCCCAAAAGUUUUCAAAAGCACCAUUGCUUGUAAGUGCCCAGCCGUGUCUCAUUGCUGCCUUGGUUAGACAACUCAAGUUGGCAAAGCCAGUGUGGCUCCAAACACCAAAUCUAUCACUUGCAAAUAAUAGGCCUUCCCAGCAGUACAGUUUGCAGCCAUUGAUAGCGCUCGUAGUUGGAACUUUGAAAGUGGCGAACGAACCCCUUUCCCGCCUGUGACAGGCUUUGUAGCGUCGGCGUCGGGCGACCUCUCCUGACAAUGUCUAACUUUUCUUGAAAAGUUUGUCUUGAGAAUGGCGUUAUAAUUAUAUCCUCGACCAAAUCGAUAUCUUCUCCUCCUUCCGCCAUUGUGGGUUAAAAAAAACAGCUUAGUAGUACACAAAUGAAUUAGUUUAUCAAAUUCAGUUUCCUAGUUCUGAGGUUUGCAUAGAACUGCCCAUAUAGGACCUGCCUCUCAAUAUUGGUAAUCCAAUCAAAAGACAUGCACGCACUACGCCGGCUAGCUGGCUCCUGUGUAACACUGGAGCCAGCCAGCAGGCGUACAAUAGCCAACUCUAAAGCUGAUUAGUUUACACUAAAUUUUCAUUUCCAUUCACUUUAAGCUACAAGUGCCCACACUGUUGAUUCUGAAGGCCUGAGGGCAGAUUUUAGACCCCUGGCAACACAUGAUGGCAAAUAUGAUUGGAUAAAAGAUCUAACAUCUAACAAAGUCCUGUCUCAGCCUCCAGUAUUUAUGCUGCAGUAGUUUAUGUGUCGGGGGGCUAGGGUCAGUUUGUUAUAUCUGGAGUACUUCUCCUGUCCUAUUCGGUGUCCUGUGUGAAUCUAAGUGUGCAUUCUCUAAUUCUCUCCUUCUCUCUUUCUUUCUCUCUC